UGAACGCUGGCGGCGUGCCUACUACAUGCAAGUCGAGCGAACAGACGAGGAGCUUGCUCCUCUGACGUUAGCGGCGGACGGGUGAGUAACACGUGGAUAACCUACCUAUAAGACUGGGAUAACUUCGGGAAACCGGAGCUAAUACCGGAUAAUAUAUUGAACCGCAUGGUUCAAUAGUGAAAGACGGUUUUGCUGUCACUUAUAGAUGGAUCCGCGCCGCAUUAGUUAGUUGGUAAGGUAACGGCUUACCAAGGCAACGAUGCGUAGCCGACCUGAGAGGGUGAUCGGCCACACUGGAACUGAGACACGGUCCAGACUCCUACGGGAGGCAGCAGUAGGGAAUCUUCCGCAAUGGGCGAAAGCCUGACGGAGCAACGCCGCGUGAGUGAUGAAGGUCUUCGGAUCGUAAAACUCUGUUAUUAGGGAAGAACAAAUGUGUAAGUAACUAUGCACGUCUUGACGGUACCUAAUCAGAAAGCCACGGCUAACUACGUG
rnacentral:rRNA from 1 species